rnacentral:misc_RNA from 1 species
CAACCCUCACGGGAGCAAGCGGUCGAAGGCGAGCGCAGUGACUGGGGCGAAGUCGUAACAAGGUAGCCGUAGGGGAACCUGCCCCCCCAUCACCUCCUUUCCGGAGCGACGAGUAGCGUAGCGCCUCGUGCGAUGCACGAGCGCGAUCCACGUGAAAGUCCUCACGGUUUGUCGCCCGUCUCGACAACCGAUCUCUCGACAUCGAUUGCAGUCUUGCGGCGAGUCGCGCUCCACUGGAGCUCGGCUCGCGACGCAUCGCUGUUUGACAAUGGAUGGUUGGUGUAGAUCGUGGGAAAUGAAUCGUCACGAGACCGAUGGAGACCGAGCGCUCGAGUAUCUCGAGCGACGAUCCAACGAAACUCGAUGCGAUGCGCGUGCUGGCUUGGCUAGAUGAUCAUGUAGUCAAGCGAGAGAAGGCAUGUGGGGGAUACCUAGGCACACAGAGA